rnacentral:rRNA from 1 species
AUGGACAAGGAGCAACAGCGCCAUGACGAGCUCCAGGCGCCGCUGCUUCCCGGCGACGGCGGGAAGGCCGCCGCCGCGGCCGGAAGCGCUUACGCGCUCGUCUGCUCCCUGGUCGCCUCCGCCAUCUCCGUCAUCUACGGUUACAAUCGAGGUGUGAUGAGCGGGGCGCAGAAGUUCAUGCAGGACGACCUGGGUAUCAGCGACGCGCAGAUCGAGGUGCUCAUCGGGGCCACCAGCAUCUACUCCCUCGUCGGCUCGCUGGCCGCGGGCUGGGCGUGCGACUGCGCCGGGCGCCGCCGCACUAUGGCGCUCUCCGCUGCCAUGUUCUUCGCCGGCUCGGCGAUCACCAGCGUCGCGGGAGGAUACGCGGUGCUGAUGGCCGGACAGCUCGUCGCCGGUGUUGCCUGUGGGUUCGGCCUCGUCGUCGCGCCCGUCUACAUCGCCGAGAUGGCGCCGGCGGCGUCCCGUGGCUUCCUCUCCUCCAUUCCAGAGAUCGCGGGCAACACGGGCAUUCUGCUCAGCUACAUCGCCGACUCCGCCCUUGCCGGCUUCCCCAACAACGUCAACUGGCGCCUAAUGAUCGGCGUCGGCGCCGUCCCGCCGCUAUUUCUCGCGGUCGCCACGCUCCUCGCCAUGCCGGAGACCCCGCGCUGGCUCGUACUCCACGGCCACCACGACGAAGCACGCCGUGUCCUCGCCCGCACCACGGGCGAUGCGGCCCUCGCUGACCGCCGCCUCAAGGAGAUCGUUUCCUCCGCGCGGGAAAGCUCCAAGCAGGCCGUUCCCGGCGGCAGCGACGGGACGACCCGGUCCACAAGCGUCUGGCGCGACAUACUGAUCCGGCCGACGCGGUCUGUCCGUCGCGUGCUGCUCGCCAUCCUCGGCCUCCAGUUCUUCCAGCAGGCGUCCGGCGUCGCGGCGCUCGUGUUGUACGCGCCGCGGGUGUUCCACCACGCCGGAGUGACCUCCCAGUCUGCGGUUCUCGGUGCCACGAUCCUCCUCGGCGUCGCCAAGAUUGUGGCCAUUGUGAUCCCGCUCUUUCUGGCUGACGGCUGGGCCGGCGUCCCAUGCUGCUCACCAGUGCGGGCGGCAUGA